GGGGAUGACAGGCUUCGACGGGGGAGGCUGGUCCCGGAUUGCGAGCCGAGAGGUGCCGACCUCGAAAAAUCAGCACAAAACAUUAAGUGCCAAUCGCACUUCCUACGCUGCUAUGCCCCUCGCCGCCUAAUUGGCUGGCUAAGGCAAGCGCAUAGUCUCUACGGAGGCUACGUCCGCCUGUUUCCGUUCUCUGGUCGGGGCAGUCCGGGCGAGACAAUACCAGGGUGCCGAGCGGUGUGCCGUGAGCCGCACGAAAGACAAAGCGGAUAACCCAAGGCGGGUUUGUUGGCUCAGCCUGCGGCGGGUGAAACUUAAAAACCAACUACGCUCGUAGAUAUUCGAGGGUCGAAUCUUUCGGACGCGGGUUCGAUUCCCGCCAUCUCCACUC
rfam:Ornatilinea apprima strain P3M-1 contig_4, whole genome shotgun sequence.